UCUGGACUGGUUCCAGUUGGAUGUUUGGUGGUCCCGGAAUGGUUCCAGUUGAAUGUGGAUGGUCCCAGCUGGAUUCCCAAGUGGGGUGGCUGGUUCCACUUUGGUGACAUCAGUGGUACCACUCUGGUCUCAGAUGGUUCCAGAAGUUCCAGCUGGAGCCUCACAGGUACCAUUUUGUUCCCAGAAUGGUCGCUGAGACUCCAAGUUGGGCAGCUUCCCCCUUUGAGAUUUCAUCUUGUCCACACUUGCCAUGUUUUGUUUGAUAUAUUACUCUGAUCUAUUUUAGCACAGGCAUGGUCUCUUUUUAUUGCUGUUUAUCCAGGUGCGCGCGUCUGCGAAUGUUGUAACUCCAAUUCGUGCACAUUCUCAUCUGAGGUGAAUAUCAUAACAUAUUAAGUACCAGGGAAAUGUAAAAAAAUACAUCUCAACAACAACAAAAAUUAAGCUAAAUAUUAGAAGAAAGACAACAACAAAAAAAGGAAAUGUAAUUGCAGAGGCUGAUGCAAUGUGAAGACGCCACGGCAAUUCAAACUUCAAACGGCGAGAGCCGAGAGGGAGAGGAGAGAGCGAGAGGCGAGCGACGGAGCGAGAGGGCGAGAGUGGCAGGUGGUUAGAACCGGUUAGAACUUUGAACUUCGACGCGUCGCGGCAAGUUGGUUUUGUCUUCAGUAACAGUCGCAAGGAUGGUGAUGGUGUAUCUCCUGUGCAGUAUUUACGUGUGUUUCAGUGCGCUUUGUAAGACAAUGCGAUGACAAUGGCUCCUGUGCAACACAAUGUCGAUUUCCCGGAAGAGUUUUGACGCCAAGAAUACGUAAACGGCGUAGAGGCAAGAACGCACUGUGAAACGCCAAUCGGACUGCACGUCGCGAAUGUUUGCAGAAACUUCGGAGGAACUUGAAGAGAAACAGGAUAAGAAGAUUCCGAACGUACGGUGAAGAGGAAUGGGGUGUAUGUCGCAACCUGCAUGGAAAACAGGAGUGUUGUGUCAUCUUCUCUAAGAAAAUACAAGAUGUGAGGUGGCCAACGAACGAAAGCUCCCUGUGGUCCGUGAGUGCAUCGCACAGUCAUGCAUAUGCUUUGUCUAGACACAGUGAGUGAUCAGACUUAUACUACGUGGUAUGUAAAUGUAGAGAUGUAUUGAUUAUUUCUUUCUGCUCAGUGUAUGCUUUUAGCAGAAUAAACGGUAAUUACUUGA